ACGAGAUGGACACGGACCUGGUCUCUUCUUCUGCUUCUACCGGCGAAACGCGACGGCGGCCGAGAUCCGCGCCGCGCAGCCUCGCCGCCGCGUUCGACGAGGGAGCUAGCGUGAUUCUGGGAUGUUUGGGAUGCGGGCCAGCGGCGCGGCAACUCCGCGGGUGGUGAGGCGGACGCGCACCUCCACAACGACCCGGGCGAUGCCGCCGUCCCGGCGCUCCUCGACUCCCGCUUCGACGGCGACAAGUUCGACGCGCCUAAGCACCUUCUCGCCCUCAUCUCUCCACGCAGGAAAUAGCAAGCUACAUGGGUCUAGAACUUGGGGAGAUUAACAUAAAAGUUUGCUGAUGGAGAAAUAUAUGUUCAAUUGCAAGAAAGUGCAAGGGGCUGCCAUGUGUUCCUUGUGCAGACAUCAUGUCCUCCAGCCUCAUGGAGCUACUCAUCAUGAUUGAUGCGUGUAUAAGAUCAUCUGCUAAGAAGAUUACUGCAGUUAUCCCUUAUUUCGGUUAUGCCAGGGCUGAAAGGAAGGUAAUGACAAAACUCUUAAGGUCGUGAAUCUAUGGCUGCAAAACUUGUAGCUAAUAUGAUUACGGAAGCUGGUGCAAACCGUGUCCUUGUUUGUGAUCUUCAUUCAAGUCAGGCCACGGGAUAUUUUGGCAUCCCAGUAGAUCAUGUUUAUGGCCAGGCAAUGAAUCUGAUUGGAGAUGUUAAGAGGAAAAGUGUCUGUUAUGAUGGAUGAUAUGAUUGAUACAGCAGGAACUAUUGCCAAAGAAGAUGAGCUGCUGCAUCAAGGAGCAAGAGAAGUCUAUGCAUGUUGUACACAUGCUGUUUAGCCACCCGCCAUCGAGAGAUUAUCAAGUGGUUUGUUUCAAGAAGCAAAGCAAUUCACGAACACUAUCCCUUCGAAGAAGAAUUGAAGACUUUGCUGAGCGAGGCAAGCAACCUACUUUGAUCUCGUUGAGCCCAUAUUUGCAUUACACACUUAAAAUUAUUUUGCAUGCAUAAAGUAUUGUCUACUAGUAUUGCUAUGCUAAGUAAAUUAGCUAGGGUUUAGCUAUGCUCUAUGUGCUUGAUAUUGCCACCCCCUUUGGCAUUCUCAAUACCCCUCCUUUCUAACCGGAGGACUACAUACCCACUGGUCACAAAUAAAUGUGGGUCAUAGGUGCAAGUUUAAUAGUGCAAGUCUACAUACCCCAAUAUGGGACGAGACUGAACUUAGUACCUUGGUAUGUCUAGUGUAGAGCCCUCGCUAGGUGGAUACCCUGUACACUGUGACGAGAGUGGACAAAUAUCAAUCAUUGGAAACUAUGUAUCAUCAGGUGGACUCUAUACUUGCAUCGUUCUUGAGAAAAGUUUUGUUCGAUUGUUCAAAUCGUAUAGACCUAUCACCAAAAGACCUUCAAGAUGCAAAAGUUUGCAUCUUCAAUUGUACAAAGUGCAACUUAGUCAGAGUUUCUCCUCUCUCAAGCUUAAGCCUUUCUUUGAACCGAACCUAUCCCAAGAAACCCAGCCUAGCUAUCAAGGAUGUGAGAUAGCAUGGGCUUAUACCGAUGUACUUAACUUAUGGAAUUGCAAGAUGGCCCAUUAAGCACCAACAACUUUUGAUUGGAAUGAAGUCCUACAUGAGAUUGUGAUUUUGUGAGUCAAUCAUGUUACAUCCUUGAGCUCCCAAUAUGCACCAAGUUGGGUUGCCAUAUAGAAACGGUUUUCGUCAGUUAGAAGAUGAGGUAGUUUGAUGGUGAUGUAGAAGUGAUAUUGAGGAGAUGGUAGUCAAAGAUGUACGGUGGAUUAUGAGAUUUUAGGGCUAGUAGGUGAGUAUGACGAUUCUUAUAUUGAUGGAUAACAUAUCUUUAAUUAAUCUUUAAAAAAUUUAGAUUUGUUUGGUGAUUGUGAUCUUGAAGAAAAUUUCACGGUGGAUUAUGAGAUUUCAUGUGGAUUUAGUUAGGUGAUUGUGAUCUUGAGGAGAUAGUUAAAAAUGUUUGGUGCAUUAUGAGAUUUUAGAGCUAGUAAGUGAGCAUGAUGAUUAUUAUAUUGUUUGAUAAACAUAUAUUUAAUUAAUCUGUGAACAAUUUGGCUUUAGUUUGGUGAUUGUGAUUUUUAACUAAAUUUCAUGGUGAUUACGGGAUUUUAGUCUACUAUGUGAGCAUGGUGAUUAUUAUAUUGUUGAAUAAUGAAUCUUCAAUUAAUAUUACAAUUAAUGUAUUUACUUAGGUGAUCGUGAUUUUGAACCAAAUUUUAGGGAGCAUUAUGAGAUUUUAGGUGGAUUUAGUUACGUGAUUGUGCUCUGUAGGAGAUAGUCAAAGAUGUUUGGUGGAUUAUGAGAUUUUAGGGCUAGUCGGUGAGCAUGAUGAUUAUUCUAUUUGUGGACAAAUAGAUAUUUAUUAAUAUUGGAGCAAUAUAAAUUUAGUUUGGUGUUUGUGAUUCUGAACCAAAUUUCAUGGUGGGUUAUGAUAUCUUAGCCUGGAUUUAGUAAGAUGAUUGUGGUCUUGAGAAGAUAGUCAAAGAUGUUUGAUGGAUUAUGAGAUUUUAAGUCUAGUAUGAGCAUGGCUAUAUUAUAUUGGUUGAUAAACAUAUCUUCCAUCAAUCUUGGAACAAUUUAGAUUUAGUUAGGUGAUUGUCAUCUUGAAGCAAAUUUGACGAUGGAUUAUGAGUUUUUGUGCCUCUACUUAGGUGAUUGUGAUCUUGAGGAGAUAGUCAAAGAUUUAUGGUGAAUUAUGAGAUUUUAGGUCUAGUAUGAGCAUGACUACUAUUAUAUUGGUGAAUAAACAUGUUCCCAAUUAAUCUAGGAUUAAUUUGGAUUUUUAUGUGAUUUUGAUCUUGAUGCAAAUUCGAUGAUGAAUUAUGAAUUUUUAAUGGAUCUAAUUAGGUGCUUGUGAUCUUGAGGAGAUAGUAAAAAAUGUUCGGUGGAUUAUAAGAUUUUAGGUCUAGUACAUGAGAAUGGUGAUUAUUUUAUUGGUGGAUAAAUAAAUCUUCAAUUAAUUUUGGAACACUUUAGAUUUAGUUAGGUGAUUGUGAUUUUGAACCAAAUUUCACAAUAGAUUAUGAUAUCUUAGCCUGAAUUUAAUUAGGUGAUUGUCAUCUUUUUUUUUUGAUUGAACACUGUGACUCUGUGAGGCAAAAGCCCCACAACCAUUUAUUAAAAAAAGUGAUCCAAAGUCAUACAGAAAUAAAGGGCUAACUAGGCUAUUUACAAGGGGUACAAGUCCGUUACCUAAUUACAAUUGAUAUCAUCCAAGAAUCAUGGCAGGGUACUGAUCCAAUGUAAAAGCAGAGGCUUGACAACAGGCUUCAUUCAAUGGGAGUGUAAAGAAAUAUCAUGGAUGAAUUUGGCUCUCCAAGUGCCAAAAGUGGGUCUCUGAUGCUUGAAAAUUUAUCAUUUUUGGUAGUCAAGAUACUCCAUGCAGCCAGGAAAACAACCUCAAAGAAGAAAGGUUCCUGGAACCCUCUUUUAGCAGCCAUUAUUAUACACUCUUUUGUAGAUAGACCGGCAUACCGCUGAAUCUGCAAAUAAUUCCAGACUCUGGUACUGAAAUUACACUUAAAGAACAGGUGAUUGUCAUCUUGAGAAGGUAGUCAAAUAUGUUCAAUGGAUUGUGAGAUUUCAGUUAUAGGAUGAGCAUUUCUACUAUUAUAUGAAUAAAUAAACAUAUCUUCAGUUAAUCUUGGAACAAUUUGGAUUUAUUUAGGUGAUUGUCAUCUUGAAGCAAAUUUGAUGAUGGAUUAUGAGGUUUUGAUGGAUUUAGUUAGGUGAUCUUGAGUAGAUAGACAGAGAUGUUCGUGGUUUUAGGUCUAGUAUGAGCAUGACUACUACUAUAUUGGUUGGUAAACAUAUUUUCAAUUAAUCUUGAUUUUUUUGGAUUUAGUUAGGUGAUUGUGAUCUUGAAGCAAAUUCGACGAUGGAUUAUAUGCUUUUGGUAGAUUUAGUUAUGUGAUUGUGAUUUUGAGGAGAUGUUAAAAAUGUUCGGUGUAUUAUGAGAUUUUAGGUCUAGUAUGUGAGAAUGGUGAUUAUAUUGGUGGAUAAACAGAUCUUCAAUUAAUUUUGUUACACUAUGGAUUUAAUCAAGAGUGGCAGCCAGAUAGACAAGACUCCCAACAAAAUGUUGAUAAAGCGUUAGAUCAGACAAAGGGUCACCAUCAGUAGCACGGAGGUGAACAUUGAGCUCCAUGGGAGUCUCAAGAGUGCUCUCAUCAGUAAGAUCGACAGAUUAUUAAUUUUGAGCAAGAAGAGACCCGAAACUCAAGAAAGUAGCAAAGAGGGACAAAAUCAGACAUAAGAAACUCUUUACUAAGACGUGUCAUCACAAAGGCAAUAUACUCAGGGUCUUUGCCGGUGAUGAUCAUGUCAUCAACAUAUAAAAGACUCCUACCAAGAGCAGAAAGGUGGACAAACAACGUAGGAUCAUGAGCACUCGCUGAAAACCAGCGACAAUCACCCGAGAGGCAAAACACUCAAACUAGGCGCAAGGGGCUUGCUUAAAGCUAUAGAGAGAGCGAUGAAGACAACGAAGCAUGUCGUCCGGAGCAGAAUACCUUACAUGUAAACCUCCUCAUGCAGCUCACCAUUAAGAAAGGCAUUCUUAACAUCAAGCUGAGAUAGACCUGUGGCCAAUAGAGCACAACAAGAAAUGUGCGAGCAGUGGUCAUAUGGUUUGCACGAGCAAAAAGUCUCAUUGUAACUAGGACUCGUAAUCAGGACCAUACUCCUGCUGAAAGCUACGAGCCACAAGACAAGCUUUGUAACACUCAAGAGAACCAUCAGAGUGAGUCAUAACAUUGUAGACCCACCAAGUGAUGGGACAAACACGAGGAGGAAGAGAAACAAUAUCCCACUUGCCAAUGCGCUCAACAGCAGCAAUCUCCUUUGUUAUCGCAAGGUGCCACUUCGUAUGAACAUCACGAUAAGAAGUCGGCUCAAGAACAGCAGCACCAACGUUUGGAAGACCAAUGCAGUCAACAGGAGAAAGCGAACGAGGAAGCAAGCCAUAAGUAGGCCAAGGCGGGGAAGAUGGCACAUCAGUAGACGCAUCCACAACAUGCGGAUGAUGUGUAUAAAAGUGAGGAAAAGAUGGAAGAAUACGAGCUGGAAUCAUCGGGAUAAACUAAGGUGAUGGAGACAAGAAAGCCACCGAUGAUGAUGGUGUAGAAUCCUGUGAUAAGCGAGGUGAGGAAAUCAUAGUAGAUCAUGGCGUUGGAUCUACAAUAAUCAGAGAAGCAGGAGCAGUACGACGAAUGGAUAAGGGCUCAACAGGAGUGGUAGGAGCGUAGGGAAAAUUAUGGAAAGAGUCUACUGAAAAGGUCGAGGAAGAUGGACAUGGGUAGUAGGGACGAGACUCAUCAAAAUUCAUAUCCCGAGAAAUAAGCACCCGACGACCAAUAUGAUCCCAAUAGCGAUAUCCCUUAUGCUCAUCAUUGUAUCCUAAGAAGACGCACGCAACGGACUGAGCAGUCAGUUUGGUGCGUUCAUGUGGGGCAAGAAGGACAUAGCAAACACAACCAAACAAUUGAAGCGUUGAAUAAUAAGGAAAUGAUCAAAUAGAUGCUCGAAAGUCGCGCAACCCUGCAGAGCAGUGGAUUGUUGAAGGUUGAUGAGAUAGAUGGAAGUAGAGACAGACUCGGCCCCAAUGUGCGACGGAUGAGAGACAGUGACCAUCAACGGUCGAGCCGUCUCAAGAAGGUGACGAUACUGGUGCUCAGCCACGCCAUUCUGAGCAUGUGCACUUGGAUAAGAGAACCGAAUGCAAGAGUACCCUGCUUAGCAAGGAUUCCACGCAACAACUUGGGAGAUAUACUCUCCACCAUAGUCAUCAUAGAACACACGAAUAGGCGUAGAGAACUGAGUAUGAACCAUGGCGCAAAAUGCUUAGAGAUAAGUCCUCACUACGAGAAGAAAUAGAGUAUAUCCAGCUGUGUCGAGAGAAGUCACUAGUGAUGACCUCCUUUCGAGGCAAAGGGAGAUGGGCCCCCGACAUCAGAGUGAACAAGGUCGAAAGAAUGCUAAGACAUUGUCUCGCUAUGAGCUAUGUUUUUAAGGCGGUAAGGCGAUCUAAGGCGCUGGGGGGGCGCCUUAUCGCCUAGGCGACGCCUAAGCGCCUAAGGCGGACGCCUAAGCGCCUAAGGCGGGCAUAUUUGUAAGGCGCUGGCGGGGCGCCUUAUCGCCUAAGCGUCGCCUAAGCGUCCAAGGCGGGACGCCUUAAAAACAGAGGCUAUGAGUAUAAGGUAAUUGGACAUGUUUACAUAGCCGACAACCUUGACGGUUUAGGGACAUCGCCGGAGACGGAUCCAAGAAGACCACGUCAAACUAAGUAUGAGAGAUCACAAGUGACCCAAGGCGAUAAUGCCACUAUUGAAAAUAAUUGGUAGACAAGGCUACAGAGGCAGAUACUAGCGGCGGUGGCAGCUGAGGGACUUGAUCCAGCAUCCCACGUGCAUGUGCACUCUCCGUACCCCGCCGAUCUGGAUUGGUGUUCUUCUCCUGUUUGCAGGUUGUGGGUCACGCGCUUGAUUAAGCACCCUAGGUUCUCCUACUGUGCGCCCUUGGCCCCGGCUUUAGGUAGCGCCUUGUCCUCGGCUCGUCCCGUGCAUAAUCCAGGUACGCGUCGACUGUCCGAGCUCUUGCUCACCAUUGGUGGUGCUCGAGCGUGCGGUUAUGGUGUCGCACAACAAGGGAACACGGGAUGUGGGAUUGAGACAGCACCCAUAGCAACCCGCAGCAAGGCAAAGGGUGCCCAUCCAGACUGGCAGUGAACAAAGGUGGACACAAAGGUGGAUGUUGACUUCAUAGGAGUCUCAGUAAUAUGCUCAUGAGUAAGAGCAACACGAGCAAGAAGAUCUCAAGGAAGUAGCAAAGAGGACCAAGAUCAUACAUAAGAAAUUCACUAUGACGAGCCUUCACAAAGGCAAUGUACUUAGAGUCAUCGCCAGUGAUGAUCGACAUGUAGAAGUGUUCGACCACAAGUUGAAUGGUGGACCGAAAGUGUAGGAAAUAAAGAAGCCAUCAGAGGUAGAACAAACCUCAAUCUCAAGGAAGUAGCGAAGAGGACGAAGAUCAUACGUAAGAAAUUCACUAUGACGAGCCUUCACAAAGGCAAUGUACUUCGAGUCGUCGCCAGUGAUGAUAGACAUGUAGACUGUUUGACCACAAGUUGAAUGGUGGAUCGAAAAUGCAGGAUCAUGAGCACUCGCCAAAAACCAGCCGUAAUCACCAUUGAGGCGACGCGCUCAAACCAGGCAGGAGGGGUUUGCUUAGGGCCAUAUAAAUAGUGACGAAGACAAGAAACCAUGCCAUCAGGAAGAGAACCCAGGUGGUGGCUACAUGUAGGCAUUAUUGACAUCACGAGAGACAGACCAACGGUAAAUAGAAGCCACAUUGAAAAGUAUGCGAAGAGUGGUCAUGUGAGGCCAUAUAGGAGCAAAUGUCUCAUCAUAGUCAUGACCAUGUUCUCACCACUAGACAAGCUUUUUAACACUCAAGAGAAUCACCAGACUUAACCUUGUAGACCACUUACUAGUUAUGAGAUGAGCACGAGGGAAAUGAGAUUCCACAUGUCGAUGCGGGUAAGAGCAUCAAUCUUCGAUGCCGUCACAUACAACCAUUCGGGAUGAACAACAACCUCACGAUAAGAAGUCGCCUCUGGAAGAGUUGCGCAGUAACCAUAACGG